rnacentral:misc_RNA from 1 species
GAUGAAGAACGCAGUGAAAUGCGAUAAGUAGUGUGAAUUGCAGAAUUCAGUGAAUCAUCGAAUCUUUGAACGCACAUUGCGCCCCUUGGUAUUCCAUGGGGCAUGCCUGUUCGAGCGUCAUUUGUACCUUCAAGCUUUGCUUGGUGUUGGGUGUUUGUCCUGAGGGACUCGCCUUAAAGUAAUUGGCAGCCAGUGUUUGGUUUUGAAGCGCAGCACAAGUCGCGAUUCAAAGCUAUACGCCCGCUUCCACAAGCCUUUUUCACUUUUGACCUCGGAUCAGGUAGGGAUACCCGCUGAACUUAAGCAUAUCAAUAAGCGGAGGA